UACAGAGGGGGCGAGCGUUAUUCGGAAUUAUUGGGCGUAAAGGGCGCGUAGGCGGCCUUUCAAGUGACGGGUGAAAUCCCUCGGCUUAACCGAGGAACUGCCUGUCAGACUGGUAGGCUUGAGACCGGGAGAGGUGAGUGGAAUUCCCAGUGUAGCGGUGAAAUGCGUAGAUAUUGGGAGGAACACCAGUGGCGAAGGCGGCUCACUGGACCGGAACUGACGCUGAGGCGCGAAAGCGUGGGGAGCAAACAGG
rnacentral:rRNA from 1 species